UUCGAUAACUUCAGAAUCAGAUUUGAAAACUGAUAAAAUAAUAAAUUUGAAGCUUAUCUUUUCAACAGGAAAUUGCAACAAACUCAAUUUGAAUUGAGUCUUAUCUUAUGAAUAUUCUAGAGAAAUUCAACCUAUAUAUAUAUAUAUAUACCAAAAUCCUAAAGCUAAUACUACACUCAUCUCUUUCAAUUUACCCAGUCGUCAUUCCCGAUCAAUCUCUCGUCGGUAAGUGAUGGUUCCUUACUACACUCAUCUCUUUCAAUUUACCAAGUCGUCAUUCCCGAUCAAUCCCUCGUUGACGGAGGUACUAGGUGAACGUUUCGGAGGUUAACUACCUUGAGAUUUUAUGCACUAUCAAGGUUGGUAAGAGGGUACUCGGUUACGUGUGAGGAGACGUUAGAAUAAUCACGUAGCUUAGCUAAGACAAUUUAGUUUAAUUCUGAAUUUAAUUAUUUCCUUUAACUAUCAUUUUAAAGUAAUUUGCAGUUUUGAUGUAAUGACUAUAUUAUUUUGCCGCAACUUAGACCACUUAGUUUAUUUAAAUAUUAUGUUAUUUUUACUUUGCAUUUAUUUUCUACGGAAAAUAAGUGUAGCAUAAUACUCCCAGAGUUCGAUGGUUGAGUUUUUGAAAGUUAAAGGUUACUCUUAUUGUUUUUAAAAGACUCGAAUUUUGGGGGUGUUACAGAAGGAGGAGGAGCAGAGUUAUAAGGGUAUAAGUGCUUCUAAUAUAAAUUGCUUCGAAUUAACGUGUGUCGGCUUGCUUUGGAAAGAUAGUCUGCUUUCCAUUGUUGUAUUCUGCUUUGAGUAAUAUUACAUAUUUUUUAAAAAAAUCGUUAUUUAAAGGGUAAUAUGAGUUAUAAAAAAUACUCAGAAGUAUCUUCCAAGUGAGGAAUUUGAGGUCAUGUUAAAAUGCGUUGC